UGAUAGCUCAGUUGGUAGACCACGAGACUCUCAAUCUCAAGGUUGUGGGUUCAAGCCCCAAGUCGGGCAAAA